rnacentral:rRNA from 1 species
GACGUAGGGCGCGAGCGUUGUUCGGAUUUACUGGGCGUAAAGGGCGCGUAGGCGGCCACCGCAAGUCAAUUGUGAAAUCUCCGGGCUUAACUCGGAAAGGUCAACUGAUACUGCGGGGCUAGAGUGCAGAAGGGGCAACUGGAAUUCUCGGUGUAGCGGUGAAAUGCGUAGAUAUCGAGAGGAACACCUGCGGCGAAGGCGGGUUGCUGGGCUGACACUGACGCUGAGGCGCGAAAGCUAGGGGAGCGAACGGG